rnacentral:ncRNA from 1 species
GUGUUGUAUGAAAGAAGUUAGCACUCCCCUUAACAAAGAUGUAAGAGUUCCUCAGGUCUGACAAUCCACAUAUGGUUUAAGGCAUUGCCACAUACUUUGUGGUACCUAACUAUAAUUUUUA